UACAGAGGUCUCAAGCGUUGUUCGGAUUCAUUGGGCGUAAAGGGUGCGUAGGCGGCGCGGUAAGUCGGGUGUGAAAUCUCGGAGCUUAACUCCGAAACUGCAUUCGAUACUGCCGUGCUUGAGGACUGGAGAGGAGACUGGAAUUUACGGUGUAGCGGUGAAAUGCAUAGAUAUCGUGAGGAAGACCAGUGGCGAAGGCGGGUCUCUGGACAGUUCCUGACACUGAGGCACGAAGGCCAGGGGAGCAAACGGG
rnacentral:rRNA from 1 species